AUCACUUCUUGGCCUUUUGGCUGAGAUCAAGUGUAGUGUCUUUUCUUAUCAGUUUAAUAACUGCAUGAAGCUGCAAAGGACCCAGAGUAGGCCAAACAGUUUUAACAACAAAACAAACAGAAACAAAGUUGGAGGAUCACACUUUCUCAUUACAAAACUUCACACGUA
ensembl:snRNA U2 U2 spliceosomal RNA